AUUGAACGCUGGCGGCAGGCCUAACACAUGCAAGUCGAGCGAGCGGCGGACGGGUGAGUAAUGUCUGGGAAACUGCCUGAUGGAGGGGGAUAACUACUGGAAACGGUAGCUAAUACCGCAUACGAUCAGAUGUGCCCAGAUGGGAUUAGCUAGUAGGUGGGGGAACGGCGCACAUAGGCGACGAUCCCUAGCUGGUCUGAGAGGAUGACCAGCCACACGGGAACGGAGACACGGUCCAGACUCCUACGGGAGGCAGCAGUGGGGAAUAUUGAACAAUGGGCGCAAGCCGGAUGCAGCCAUGCCGCGUGUGUGAAGAAGGCCUUCGGGGUGUAAAGCACUUUCAGCGGGGAGGCGUUACCCGCAGAAGAAGCACCGGCUAACUCCGUGCCAGCAGCCGCGGUAAUAC
rnacentral:rRNA from 1 species